ACCUCGGUGGUGCAGUGGUUAACACGUGUCCCAAAAAAGGAUGGAACGCGAAUUCAACUUCCGCCUGAGGUU